GGUGGCUCAGUGGUAGAGCGCUUGCCUUGCUUGCAUGAGGCCCUGGGUUUGAUUCCCCAGCACCA
rnacentral:tRNA from 1 species